ensembl:snoRNA SNORA73 Small nucleolar RNA SNORA73 family
CCAACGUGGAUACCCCGGGAGGUCACUCUCCCCGGGCUCUGUCCAGGUGGCAUAGGGGAGCAUAGGGCUCUGCCCCGUGAUGUACAGUCCCUUUCCAUGACGUUGGAGAAGAAGCUGGGCCUUGUGUCUGCGCCUGCAUAUUCCUACAACUUCUCAGAGUCCUUUGGGCAGUGACUGAGGAGAUAAACCAUGCAGGAAACAAUG